CCGGUUCGCCCGAAGAGGGGAGCGGGUCGUCAUCACCCCCACCUCUCAACGUCCGCCUCCCCCCCGCUUUCCAGUUAUCGACUCGCCCGAAAGUGCUUGUUCGCUUCGCCUUUUCUCCCAUCCCUGUUAUAACAUUUAAUGUACCUCACAUUUUACGCGAAUCUCGUUUGAAAGGCGAAAAUAUUCGAAACUGGAUUUUUUUUCCCUCGGAGGAGAUCGUCUUAGGAGAACGAACUGGUACGCGGCCGACUGUAGUGAUUCGACCAGUGCUAAAGAAGAAUAACUACAACUUAAUUAGUUUAAGAAGAGACGUUUUCCUUUUCCGUCGCUGGCUCCCUGAUUUCAGGGGGGCAAAUAUCACAUCCACGAGACAACAUAACGUGAUUCGUUAAUCAAUUUAUUUCCGAUUCCAACAGCUGUAAUAUCAAUAAUACAUUCACAGAAUAUAUACUUAUGGAGCCGUCGGAUGAACUUUUUCCAACAGCUGCUCUGAUCUCUUGCACAAUGGGAAAAGGCAUCCUCAGAGUGAAAUUUAAUAAUUAAAAGACCCAUUAAAUGUUAUUUGGCUGUAAUUGUGACUGUAAACCGUCCUUGAUUUUAUUCUGCUCGUUUGUUUAAUUAAACUUUUGCACUGCUGUCUGUUA